CGGUAAGUCUUAUACGACCAGCUCCCUUUGAAUCUCCCCAGGGCAGGAAUGCAGCAAGGUAAAAAGGUCGUAGCGGUGCGAUAUAAGUAGCUUACCACUU
rnacentral:SRP_RNA from 1 species